AUGUGUUUAAAUGUAAAUAAUAACAUCUUUUUACAUAAACAGGCAUCCUUAUGUUAUUAGUUUUUUUAUAAAAACAAAUAAGAGUUCAAAAUAAAAAAUUUAAUUUAUGAAAAGAGAAGAAGUAGGAUAAGUAUUUUUAAUUCAACAUUUACAGAGUGAAUCAGAAGAAGAAGUGUUGGUAAUUUAUUUUGAAACAGAUAGUAUCACGAGAUGAAGUGGUAAGAGUAAUAAAAUUCUUUUAUUCAACAUUACGAAUUGAAUUACGAGAAGAUAUGGUUGUAAUUAAUUUAAAGCAUAUCGCAUCACGAGAAGAAUAGGAAAAAUAAUGCUAUACUUAAGUAUCAAGAUUAAAAUACUGACGUACCGUUAAACUGAAGGUGGUAAUAAAGUUUACAAAAUUUGGUCUGGCUGAAUUUUUCAAUGAAAUAACAAUAUGUGUGCCAUGAAUGUAAUCUGUUUUUCAUGGCGUAUCAAUAAAAGUUUGGUGUAUUGGCCAAAUCACUUGCAAGCAUCUUGCCUUUAAACUGCCUUGCGUAAAGUCGCGCUUUUAAAAGUAACUGAAAGCAGCUGAAAAUAAGAAUGUUUUGUUAUGAGACUGCUUUAGAAUGGAAUUAUCUGUGCCUCCAGCUUAAAAGGAUGCAGGUUACAAAAAAAGUGACACUGAUGAGAUUGUCUCUCAGUUUCUCAAAGAUUGAAGAAAUCUUUAGUGUUUUAGGGUUAAGUGAUUCCAUCAAAGCUUUGCUUGACUAUCUCUUUCGAUUUAUUGAAUUUAUUUGCCGGUUAUAAAUGAAAAAAGAUCUUCGAAACCUCAAAGAAAAAUUAUGGAACAAAGACACCUUAUGAAUCAAUAGUAUAUAUCAGUGAAUUGAUAUUAGAUAAUAGUUUUUGGAAACAGUACCAUGUACUAUUAAAGUUUCUAGUUUUUAAAAUAUCUGAUACAUUUAUAUGAAACAUACAAACAAUUAUAUUACAUUUAAUACAACAAUUAUAUUACAUUUGUUUUCUUAUUUUAGAUGAACUUUCUUACUUCGGUUGCAGGAGAUGAGAAACAACUUACAGCAGCAAUCUUAAUACAGCUAAUGGCCAAAGAAGUAUGUUUUUCAUACUCAGUGUAUGGAAUGAAACAAAAACCUCCUGCAAGGUCGUUAUAGAGUUGCGUCUAGUCGUUUUUCGUUUGUAUUCGUUCAUUUCGAAAUCGCUACUGACAAAAGUAUUAAA